rnacentral:sRNA from 1 species
AGUCAGGAGCUCCAACUUUCAGAAAUUAUUUGUUUUACAAAAAAAUAAGAAAAAAUGUGAGAAAAAUACGUUUCGUGCUUAAAAUUAACCUUGUGACUUUUCAAGCGGUUGAGAAUUGUUUUAAAAAGAAAUUUCAAAUUGUGACAAGAAAUAAAUAUAUAUAAAUUUUUUGUUUAGUUCGUACCAAAUUUCGUUUCAAUGUCAAUGUCAGGAAGUGUGCAACUUAGAAAUGUUAGAUGAAAAUACACUCAAAAAAAAACGUUUGAACCCACAAUGUUAUACACAGGAGCACACAAUAAUCAAAACCCUGAUAAAUGGCGAUCUGCUUGGUGUAUUUGCGUUUUUGCUGACUUUAUAAAUCUUUGAUGCGACGGUACCACAGACCACAGACUUUUCAUAUGGUUUGCUGGAUUAGUCGAUCAAAGGCAAAUAUGAAUAAACUGUUUGUGGCACAAAUUCACCCUCCCAUCUGUAGAAAGAAAUAAAAAUACAAAUUAGAACAGAAACACAGAUUACACUGUUUACACACACACACGGACACUGAACACACAGCACACACACAUACUCAAUUCUCAGACGUUUCGAUUUCUUCGUCGAUGCUUAUUUAUAUGCAUCUUUCAUGCUCGCUCUGUACAUAGCCAUAUGUAUUAGGAAAACGCAUCUAAAUAACAUAAAAAAAUAACCAACAAACCCAAAAAGCCCCCAAAAAAAAAGCAACGAGCAACUGCAACAAAAAUCGUGUUUUUUGUGUUUACACUUAAACUUACUUUUAUUUUUGUGUUCGCCCAUAUCGUCGUUGUCGCACAUCAGGAAGUAAGCUUCGUUAAUUAACAUUGUCGCGGUUGGUUUCCAAAAUAUCUGCCCGCUUAACAAUACAAUAAUAUUUUGGACGCAAUCGCCUCGUGCAUCGCCAUAAAGGGGUUUAAAUACAGUUCUUGCACGGAAUCCAGUUGAACAGGAUCAUGAGGGUUGCGCGUCACUGUAUUAUCAGAAGCUGCAUAUUUGUUUGUUCUAUUAAUCGUCUAUCAAAAUAAAACCACAGAUGCAACAAACA